GCGAGAACGGAAGGCCCAAACCAACAAGGUUUGCUUUUGGGGUUUUAGGCCCUUUUUUCGGGGGUUCCAAAGGGCGCCUUUGGCGGAUUCUUCUGGAAAGAUGAAUCAAAGAAGGUAAUAAUCCUGUAGUCGAAAAUGUUGUCUCUCUUGAGUGGAUCCUGAGUACGACGGAGCACGUGAAAUUCCGUCGGAAUCUGGGAGGACCAUCUCCUAAGGCUAAAUACUCUCUAGUGACCGAUAGUGAACCAGUACCGUGAGGGAAAGGUGAAAAGCACCCCGGAAGGGGAGUGAAAUAGAACCUGAAACCGUGUGCUUACAAGUAGUCAGAGCCCGUUAAUGGGUGAUGGCGUGCCUUUUGUAGAAUGAACCGGCGAGUUACGAUUUGAUGCAAGGUUAAGCAGUAAAUGUGGAGCCGUAGCGAAAGCGAGUCUGAAUAGGGCGUUUAGUAUUUGGUCGUAGACCCGAAACCAGGUGAUCUACCCUUGGUCAGGUUGAAGUUCAGGUAACACUGAAUGGAGGACCGAACCGACUUACGUUGAAAAGUGAGCGGAUGAACUGAGGGUAGCGGAGAAAUUCCAAUCGAACCUGGAGAUAGCUGGUUCUCUCCGAAAUAGCUUUAGGGCUAGCCUCAAGUGAUGAUUAUUGGAGGUAGAGCACUGUUUGGACGAGGGGCCCCUCUCGGGUUACCGAAUUCAGACAAACUCCGAAUGCCAAUUAAUUUAACUUGGGAGUCAGAACAUGGGUGAUAAGGUCCGUGUUCGAAAGGGAAACAGCCCAGACCACCAGCUAAGGUCCCAAAAUAUAUGUUAAGUGGAAAAGGAUGUGGCGUUGCCCAGACAACUAGGAUGUUGGCUUAGAAGCAGCCAUCAUUUAAAGAGUGCGUAAUAGCUCACUAGUCGAGUGACACUGCGCCGAAAAUGUACCGGGGCUAAACAUAUUACCGAAGCUGUGGAUUGUCCUUUGGACAAUGGUAGGAGAGCGUUCUAAGGGCGUUGAAGCAUGAUCGUAAGGACAUGUGGAGCGCUUAGAAGUGAGAAUGCCGGUGUGAGUAGCGAAAGACGGGUGAGAAUCCCGUCCACCGAUUGACUAAGGUUUCCAGAGGAAGGCUCGUCCGCUCUGGGUUAGUCGGGUCCUAAGCUGAGGCCGACAGGCGUAGGCGAUGAUAACCGGUUGCUAUUGGGUGUACGCACCCCUAUAUCGUUUAUCGAGUGGG
rnacentral:rRNA from 1 species